CCAUUACUCUUUAACCUGUCGACCUGCGCUGAUUAAACCCGUCAUUCUGCCUCCAAAAUGCCAAAAAACUGUGUUGUUUUUGGUUGUGCAAACCACAACUGGAAACAGGGAAAACAAAGGUCGUAUUUUGUUCUGCCAAAGCGUGCUAAAAGCCCACAGAGACGAGACAAAUGGCUCGCAGCUUUACACCGGGAAAACGAGGACGGUUCUCACUGGAGUCCCCCAAAAUCCCGGGUCGUGUGUUCGGAUCACUUCGUUUCUGGACGACCUGUAAAGAAUCCCAUGCACCCUGAUUAUGCACCAUUUAUCUUACCUCACCUGCCACAGAGUGGAAAGAAGGCAUCCCAUAGGAUGGACAGUUACGAGCAACAUCAACUGACAACUUCAAAGCGUGAAUCGGCAGCAGAGAACUCAAAAAGUACAAAGAAACACUGUGGGAAACGACUACCUUUCAGUGAUCUAACGGAAAGGACAAAUGAGUGUGAAAACAUUGAGCCUGCUGCAAAAACGCCUGUAAUUUUAAAUAAAUAAUUCAGUUAAAAAAAGGAACAGUAAUUCAGCAAAUAAUAAAUCAUAAUACUGAACUGAAUUUGAAUGAGCUCUCUACAGAUAUAAUAAAUAUACAGAUACUGGUA